rnacentral:lncRNA from 1 species
CCCUGCGCAGCAUCCUGCCUUACUCCCUAGGCACUCUGGUGCUGGAAGGCAGGCUAUAUUGGAACACAGUUUAUCUGGACAGUCAGAGUUUCUUUGAAGGACAGUCAUUAUCUGUGGAUCUGUUUGCCGUGUUUACUGUUUGAAAAGAGGUGGCUAGGCUUGAGAGGAAUAGGAGAAAAAAAGAUUAUUGUCCUUGAUAAUUUUUUUAAUAUUAAAUCAGAUUACUUGUCAAGGAUUUGUGUGCUUUACCAUCACCAGCCUCAGCUGGGAGCCUUAUCCACAGCUGCAGAAGCUCAGUGUUCCAGGAGGCCCAUUUAAGCACAGGCCUGGGCUUUCAGUGUUCUUCCCUGCAGUUCCUGAAUUGUUUGGAUUUCCUUGUUUGAUCCAGCCCUGCCUUGUUACCUUGCCUUUGCUUGAUGACUGCUAAAGCACUGAUGAGAUCUUCUGUUACUGCCAUUCUGUGCUUGCCCAGCUUGGGGUUGCUGGGGCUCUGUCCUUCUGGGAAGGGUAGAAUCCUGCUGCUGCCAUGAAUACUCAGACUGGAGUCCUUACCAGUGUAUUUGCCAGACAGAAGGAGGUUUAUUUCCUUCUCCUAAGAGCUUCUAUCUGCACUGCAAUGAUGGAAAUGACUGUGAACUUCAGAAUUUGAGAAGGCUGUUCUAAAAAAUACUGGGAAAAAAGUGAAAAUGCUCCAAAAGUACAGCUGGUCAUUAUAAGUACAAGUGAGAGAUCUGCAAGGUGUUGUACCACUAGAGAAAAUCUUGUACUCUGCAGUCCCACUAUGGACCUGACUGUGGCAAAAGGGGAGCAGCCUGCCUACUUACAGAUCAAUUCUGAAAGGCACUGGUGAGAACAUCUGAGACAAAUGUGAAGGUUUCUUCUGCCUUGCAAAAACAUUCUAGUUAUGUAAUGCUUCUGCAUGCUGAUGGAGGUGGUGAGACAACCAGUAAGGAUCUUCUCUAACAAGCCCUCUGUGGAAGUCUCCAGACCUCUUCAUACUUAAGCUUUUGCUGGGGGUACUCUGAAGUGCUGGAACAUUUAACUCACAGAGAAGAAAUACUGCCCAGCUUCUGCUCAACAUCAUCGUCAGCUGCUUGCUUGGGAGAUUCUGGCCUUUGUGCAAGGGUGCUGGAACUUAAGGGAUGGUCUCAUCCCAAAUCAGACCUGAAGAGGUGGGAAUGUACAGGGCAGCCAGACUCCUGGUACACAAAGCAGGAGCCACAGGAACCCUUCAGUGAUUACAAGACAUUCUGA